AGAGCACCAAACGUGGCCAGAAGGAGCUCUGGCAGCGGGAAAGUGCCAAAGCAGCAGGACUGGCCCCAGCUGCUCUUCCCAGCCCUCAUCCCACAGCCUCUGUGCCCAUCCCUGUCGCCCUUGGACACCACAUGAGCACACAGGAGCUUGGGGAGCUGAAGAGAGAAAAAGAGCAAAUUUUAUUUCUGACCUCGCAAUAUAUAGAGUUCCAAAAGUGGCAGUGGAUUGGAGGAUGGAAUUGUUACUUUUCCAACCACACUGGUCAAACCAACAGCCCAUCAAUUCUCUCCUCCCACAGAGAAGAAUGCAAAACAAUCAUUAUUUACAUCAACAGUGCCUGAGAACGCCAGUAGAGAUAUGUAACCAUUAUCAGAAGGCUGAAGGAGUUUUAUGAGAACUUUAAAACUUUCAAAAGAGCUAUAAAAGAAACUUAACACUUUUAAAAAUUAGGGCAACACAUCCCUGUCCUGCUGCUGUUCCAUGUUCACCCUCAUCCCCUGGCUCUGUGACACCAGCCUGGCCCCACAGCCUGCAGUGGGAUUUUUCCUGAGCAGGGCUUUGCCCCACAGCCUGCAGUGGGGUUUUUCCUGAGCAGGGCUUUGCCCCACAGCCUGCAUGGGGUUUUUCCUUUUCCCUGCUUGAGGCAGAGCUCUCCAGGCAAGCCUCACAGCCCAUCCUUACCAGGAACCCUUCUAAUCCGGGCUCACAAGACUUUUCCAAGUGCUUUUGUGCUUUCUGACUCUAAUUCUGAUUCUUCAACAAUUCCACAAACCCUGUGUUGCUCAUUUCACUUCAAGUGCAGCUCACAAAUUAAUGGUGUGUGUUAAUUGGGCAGCUAAUCCCCCUCCCAGAAGAAAAAAAACAACCUUAAAAAUUAUCAUAAUGCUUCCCAUUUUUGGUGCUGUGCUGCAAACGUGUUAAAGAUAUUUUAACAAAUGAGAGGCCUUAAUUAGAGCAGAGUGAGCCCUACGGUGCCCUGCACAUAAAAGACACUUGUGCAGGAUGGAAAAAGGAAGAGUUGGAUCCUUUCAAGGCAGACCCUUUCCUCAACCCUCCACCUCAGCCUUUUCCAUAAAGAAACCCAGGAUCCUUUUCAUUCUAAGCAUAGACUUUAAAUUCCUACACCCAUCUCAGGGCAGUAUUAAAUAUUAAAGUCGGAUAUUAAAUUUUCAAGGAACCUAAAUGAAACCUGAGGUACUCAAAAAUAAGUGUUGUUGAAUAUUUAAUGGCAAAGAUUUCGUAAUUAACUUUAGAAAUCUCUCCCACCAAGACAGAGGAGGGCUGCCCAGUGAAAUGUGACCAUCCCAGUGACCUUCCAGGGGCUGCAGCAGGUGCCCCC
rnacentral:lncRNA from 1 species